AAUUUCAAAUAAACCAUUUCCAGAUUAACAAAUCAAGGCUACGUGCACGUAGAAGACCCAUGUGAGCCUUCCAGAGAUUGAUGCAUCUGGAUAAAUCCAGCCCAGAUUAAAGCAAAGCUCUCGCUGCACAAACUCUUCCUGAAAGGAGCAGGAUGCUGGUGAUGCUGCCGGCACCGGGAGGAGGACUGUGCCGGGAACAACGAGUGCCCAAGUCAGGCAGGAGGAUUCAGCGGUGGGGCUGCUCUCUACGCUGUUCUGUUGCGUUUCUCUUUGGCGGGGGGAAUUGCCGAGGCAGAGCCAUUCCGGGAGCGUUCGAGCCGCCGCAGUUUCUGUGGGAGGGAGUGCUGCAGCGUGGGCUGUUUUUCCACACGCUCAUCAGAAAGUCAAGACUCAUUAAAGAGUAUUGAAGCAUCUCCUGAGCCUCUGCUCUCCUUAAAUUCCUUCAGUGGUUCUCAGCUCCUAGAAUUUCUCUCUGAUGCUUGCUCAAACCUGAUGCAUUCAGCCAGCAGUGAAUAUAAACCUGUGCCAAGAGGUUAGCAUCGCUCUUGAUGGGAUUUUUUUCAAUGCCCUGUUUCAGGGUGCACUGUAUCUCCCAAGAAAACAUUCCUCAGCCGUGCUAGAAGCAUCGCAGGAAGAGUCACAGCAACAACAAAAAGCACAAAUAGGGGGGCAUGGGGGGCUGGUACGGUCGAUAGGCAGCAGCAACACGGUCCAGCUGCGAAGGAGGGUUUGGGAGAAAGUUUAAGGUCUGAAAGAUGUUACCUGAAGCAAACUAAGUCACUCUGAGAGGAGAAAGGAGCAAAGAAAGGAAAAAAAAAAUAUUAAGAGACUGAGAUCGACUAGACUGGCACAGAAAAAGAAGAAAGAGAGGCGUCCAGAGGGACAUCAGAAAACACGCGGGGAGAAGAGGAUCCACAACAGGAGAACAGCAGGAUCCUUUACACUUAAUGGAGAAUGUGGAGGCUACAGAGGAGGUGCUUUUUUUUUCACCCCUACAGUCUGUGCAAUUGCCUUCCAUGCUUAUCUCUUAUCCAGCGAUAAGAAUGAAACACCUCAGGAAAAUAAAGACCGAUAACAGAAUUCUGUCUUUAUGGCCAUGAGCUUCACCUCCUAUCUACUGGCCUUGCGUGUUGUUUUCCGUCAGAUACCAGCCCAGCUCUCAGCCACACAGAACCUCACAAACUCUGAAGGAAAACUCUUUUGUUGGUGUCAAAGAGAUGAAAGGGAACAGCUAAAAGGGCAAGUACUUGCAGGUGCUGGAAAACACUUCACCAGAGAUUAAAUUGAAUUAGUCCUUCUAUCAAGAAAACCUUUAAAGGACCUUCCAGGAAUUAAGUCAUCUCCAAAUGGACAUGAUAGAGAAAACAUAUUCUAGUGGGCUGUAUCUCAAGCCCUAAUAAGUUAAGGCCCAAAAAAUUAAGAAAGGGAGAUUCUGAAAACUGAAUUCCUGAGGAUAUCAGUGGAAAGACUUUUUCCCAAAGAUAAGAAGCUGGAAGGCUACGGGAGAACGUGUAUGUCCACUAAAUGAUGGAAGUAUGAGGACUAAAUGAAAUAUGUGGGUCACUGUUUAUUACAGAGGAAUUUGUGGAGGUUUCCACGUUAAAGCCUUUCUUUACGAGGGGUAAGAUGGAGAAGUCAUCUCAGACUUAAGAUCACUAGAGGAAGCUUUAAAAUUAAUGAAUACAAAUAACGGGAACAAAAUUCCUGUAUGGGACAGCAUCUUGACAGUUCCAGAAAAGUGUUGAAAUAUGAAAUUGUCGGACUACUUAACCCUAGUUUGAAACCCCUUGUCUAAAUCGGGCCUGAGAUUUAAGGCCUAGAACGACAAAUGAAACUCAACUUUGAUGGAUGCAAAUUCAUGCAAAUCACUACAAACACGGAGGAACGAGCUCUGACCCUGAGGACAUCUUGGCAUCGCUGUGCUGACAUCUUCACAGAGCUGCACACAGCGCUGAGGCAGUCGGGAGGCAAACGGACCGUGAGGAAUUACUGGGGAGGACACGGAGAACAAAUAAAACUGAGCGUUGUUACAGCGCUGAGCGAGCCCGUGGCGGGGCCACGUGUUUCAGCCUUCUUUGCGCAGGAUGGAUAACCAGAGAAGGUGGAAAAACACAAGGGUGAGGGAGUAGAGGUCUGCAAAAACCACCUUGUGGGGUUAAAUAGAGUAGGGCUUUCUUAUUUGGAAAGAGAAUAUGACAGGGGUACAUAAAGACCCCGGUGAAAGGGGAUGGGUGCUCCUCGAUUUGCUUUUAGUUUUGUCCUCUUGGUGUUACUGCACAACUCACAGAGCCCGUUUCAUUUUCCUCAUUGUCAAACUGGAGCAUUAGUUUUAUUAGUGACUUAGAAAGUUCGUUAUCAACUCAUACUCCUGUGGGCAAACUUACACGAGACAGUUUUCUAAUCCAUCACCUCGUAAUUCAUAUUUAAUUUCUGUUUUUUAUAAGACUAUUUAAAAAGUAUUAAUGAGCUUAUUUAUAAUGUCUACACGUUAUGGAUAUCAAUAAAUAUACAAAGUACCUCAAACCGCUUUUAAGCUUUUAUUUCAAUAAAAGCAGCACUUUUAAAAACCCUUGCGAACCCUGUGCGCUCCUUCACAAAAAUAGCUAAUAUUUCUGCAAAACUGACAAGCAGAAUUAAAACAUAUAAAAAUCCUCACAACUUAUCAGAGAAAGGGCACGGGAUACAUGGGGACAUAAUUCUAUUUAAACGACAUACUCAGCUGAGGAGUUUAGUAAAAUUUGCAUGUCCAGCUACAUGGGGAGCGAGGUGGUGAAUUCCCAGUUGCAGUCGGACGCUGUGGUCCAGGCUGUAAGGUUCCUGAGCACUUCCAGAAGUCAAAAAAAAAUGGAGGAUUUGGCCCUAAAAUCCCCCCAAAUCACAAACCAAACAUCAAAGGAUUAUU